rnacentral:rRNA from 1 species
GACGAACGCUGGCGGCGUGCUUAACACAUGCAAGUCGAACGGAAAGGCCCUGCUUGCAGGGUACUCGAGUGGCGAACGGGUGAGUAACACGUGGGUGAUCUGCCCUGCACUUCGGGAUAAGCCUGGGAAACUGGGUCUAAUACCGGAUAGGAGCCAUUUUUAGUGUGAUGGUUGGAAAGUUUUUUCGGUGUAGGAUGAGCUCGCGGCCUAUCAGCUUGUUGGUGGGGUAAUGGCCUACCAAGGCGGCGACGGGUAGCCAGCCUGAGAGGGUGGACGGCCACAUUGGGACUGAGAUACGGCCCAGACUCCUACGGGAGGCAGCAGUGGGGAAUAUUGCACAAUGGGCGCAAGCCUGAUGCAGCGACGCCGCGUGGGGGAUGACGGCCUUCGGGUUGUAAACUCCUUUCGCUAGGGACGAAGCUUUUUGUGACGGUACCUAGAUAAGAAGCACCGGCUAACUACGUG